CCUACGGGUGGCAGCAGUGAGGAAUAUUGCACAAUGGACGCAAGUCUGAUGCAGCAACGCCGCGUGGAGGAUGAAGGUCUUUGGAUUGUAAACUCCUUUUCUCAGGGAAGAGUUUGGACGGUACCUGAGGAAUAAGUCACGGCUAACUACGUGCCAGCAGCCGCGGUAAUACGUAGGUGGCAAGCGUUAUCCGGAAUUACUGGGCGUAAAGCGCACGCAGGCGGCUUUUCAAGUUCGACGUGAAAGCUCCCGGCUUAACUGGGAGAGGUCGUUGAAGACUGAGAGGCUUGAGGCAAGGAGAGGGGUAUAGAAUUCCUGGUGUAGUGGUGGAAUGCGUAGAUAUCAGGGGGAAUACCAGUGGCGAAAGCGGUACCCUAGCCUUAGCCUGACGCUCAUGUGCGAAAGCGUGGGGAGCGAACGGGAUUAGAUACCCUAGUAGU
rnacentral:rRNA from 1 species